rnacentral:rRNA from 1 species
UGGAACAAUAUCGAUCCGCUCGAAUAAAAUUCUGGGUAAAUUUAUGAUAAUGACAUUGUUUACCCAUAAGUCUUGACCAAGUUACGUGCCAGCAGUCGCGGUAAGACGUAGAAGACAAGUGUUAUUCAUAUUUAAUGGGUUUAAAGGGUACCUAGACUGCAAGUUAAGCCUAAAAAGGGAACUGAUUUGCUAGAGUUACUAAUGAAGAAGUUUUAAAGUACUAGAGGAGUAGAGAUAAAAUCCGAUGAUACCUUUUUUUUGCGAAAACUUCGGCACAGGUAUAGGUGAAAACAUCUUCUUAUAGGAUAACUGACGUUGAGGGACGAAGGCUUUUUACAGCGAACAGGAUUAGAGACCCUGGUAGUAAAAGCAGAAAAUGAUGAGUGUCAUAGAUUAGAUAAAAAUUUAUUCUAUAAAUGAAAGUGUAAGCACUCCACCUCAAGAGUAUUUUGGCAACAUUGGAACUGAAAUCAUUAGACCGUAUUUGAAACCAGUAGUGAAGUAUGUUGUUUAAUUUGAUAACCCGCAAAAAACCUUACCACAACUUGAAUGUUUAUUCACUUUAUCUGUGUGAUAAAGUAAAUAGAUACAAGUGUUGCACGGCUGUCUAC